rnacentral:rRNA from 1 species
AUUGAACGCUGGCGGCAUGCUUUACACAUGCAAGUCGAACGGUAACAGGUCUUCGGAUGCUGACGAGUGGCGAACGGGUGAGUAAUGCAUCGGAACGUGCCCAGUCGUGGGGGAUAACGCAGCGAAAGCUGUGCUAAUACCGCAUACGAUCUAUGGAUGAAAGCGGGGGACCGUAAGGCCUCGCGCGAUGGGAGCGGCCGAUGUCAGAUUAGGUAGUUGGUGGGGUAAAGGCCCACCAAGCCAACGAUCUGUAGCUGGUCUGAGAGGACGACCAGCCACACUGGGACUGAGACACGGCCCAGACUCCUACGGGAGGCAGCAGUGGGGAAUUUUGGACAAUGGGCGCAAGCCUGAUCCAGCAAUGCCGCGUGCAGGAAGAAGGCCUUCGGGUUGUAAACUGCUUUUGUACGGAACGAAACGGUCUGGGUUAAUACCCUGGGCUAAUGACGGUACCGUAAGAAUAAGCACCGGCUAACUACGUGCCAGCAGCCGCCGCGGUAA